CGCUGAACUUAAGCAUAUUAAUAAGCGGAGGAAAAGAAACUAACAAGGAUUCCCCUAGUAACGGCGAGUGAAGCGGGAAGAGCUCAAGCUUAAAAUCUCCGUGCAAGUUUUGCGCGGCGAAUUGUAGUCUAUAGAGGCGUGAUCAGUGUGGGCGCUUGGGGCAAGUUCCUUGGAAGAGGACAGCAUGGAGGGUGAUACUCCCGUUCAUCCCUGAGUUGCUCGUGCGUACGAUCCGUUUUCUUUGAGUCGCGUUGUUUGGGAAUGCAGCGCAAAGUAGGUGGUAAAUUCCAUCUAAAGCUAAAUAUUGGUGCGAGACCGAUAGCGAACAAGUACCGUGAGGGAAAGAUGAAAAGAACUUUGAAAAGAGAGUUAAAGAGUACCUGAAACUGCUGAAAGGGAACCGAAUCGUUUCCAGUGUCUAUAAUCCGUGGUAUAUUUCAUUGGCGAGUGUGUGCGUGCGUGUGCUGUGGCAGCGGCUUUUUUGGCUGCGCUCGGCGUGUGUGCUGUGUGUGCUUGCUGGUGCCCUGUGCUGCGGUGGGACGUCAAGGUCAGUUCGUAUGCUGCGGGAAAUGGCCGCCGAGGAGGUAGGGCUUACGCUUGCGUUUGUCUGUUAUAUCUUGGUGGACGAGUAGUCGCGGUUGGGACUGAGGUGCCUACAACGUGUUUUUGAGUGGGCCUGUGUCUCUGUGUGCGCCGUGUGCGGAUAGCUUGCUAUGCGUGUGUGGUUGUGUGUGGAUUGAUGUGGGUUUUAACUUGUUGCCGUUCGGGACGUUGACGAAAUGGAGCGAUUUGACCCGUCUUGAAACACGGACCAAGGAGUCUAACAUGUGUGCAAGUGUUAGGGUGUGGAAACCCCAGCGCGAAAUGAAAGUGAAGGGCAGCGUAAGUUGUCUGAGGUAGGAAAUGCUGCGGGCUUCGGUCUGCGGUGUGGCACUAUCGACCGAUCAUGAACCUUCGUGGUGAAAGAUUUGAGUUUGAGCACAUAUGUUGGUACCCGAAAGAUGGUGAACUAUGCCUGAGUAGGGUGAAGCCAGGGGAAACUCUGGUGGAAGCUCGUAGCGAUUCUGACGUGCAAAUCGAUCGUCAAACUUGGGUAUAGGGGCGAAAGACUAAUCGAACCAUCUAGUAGCUGGUUCCCUCCGAAAUUUCCCUCAGGAUAGCAGCAACUUAUUUACGAUAGUUUUAUGAGGUAAAGCGAAUGAUUAGAGGAUUCGGGGAAGAAACUUCCUCGACCUAUUCUCAAACUUUAAAUCUGUAAGACCUGCAGGUUUCUUAAUUGAACUUGUGGAUGUGAAUAUCAAGUUGCUAGUGGGCCAUACGGGGUAAGCUCGUCUGGCG
rnacentral:rRNA from 1 species